ensembl:piRNA 21ur-9682 ncRNA
UAUUCUGCUCAUAUCUUGUAA